GUGCUUGUUUCGGCAGCACAUACACUAACAUUGGAGCGAUACAGAGAAGAUUAACAUGGCCCCUGCGCAAGGAUGGCAUGCAAAUUCGUGAAGCAUUCCAUAUUUUU
ensembl:snRNA U6 U6 spliceosomal RNA